rnacentral:rRNA from 1 species
GAUGAACGCUGGCGGCGUGCCUAAUACAUGCAAGUCGAGCGAACAGAUGAGAAGCUUGCUUCUCUGAUGUUAGCGGCGGACGGGUGAGUAACACGUGGGUAACCCACCUAUAAGACUGGGAUAACUCCGGGAAACCGGGGCUAAUACCGGAUAAUAUUUUGAACCGCAUGGUUCAAUAGUGAAAGACGGUUUCGGCUGUCACUUAUAGAUGGACCCGCGCCGUAUUAGCUAGUUGGUAAGGUAACGGCUUACCAAGGCGACGAUACGUAGCCGACCUGAGAGGUGGAUCGGCCACACUGGAACUGAGACACGGUCCAGACUCCUACGGGAGGAAGCAGUAGGGAAUCUUCCGCAAUGGGCGAUAGCCUGACGGAGCAACGCCGCGUGAGUGAUGAAGGUCUUCGGAUCGUAAAACUCUGUUGUUAGGGAAGAACAAAUUUGUUAGUAACUGAACAAGUCUUGACGGUACCUAACCAGAAAGCCACGGCUAACUACGUGCCAGCCGCCGCCGUAA